rnacentral:rRNA from 1 species
AGAGUUUGAUCCUGGCUCAGGAUGAACGCUGGCGGCGUGCCUAACACAUGCAAGUCGAGCGAGGGUUUGCUCAGUAUUGAGUAUUCUAAGUCUAGAAUGUUCAAUUCUGAGCAAAACCAAGCGGCGGACGGGUGAGUAACGCGUGGGUAACCUGCCCUAUACACAUGGAUAACAUACUGAAAAGUUUACUAAUACAUGAUAAUAUAUAUUUGCGGCAUCGCAGAUAUAUCAAAGUGUUAGCGGUAUAGGAUGGACCCGCGUCUGAUUAGCUAGUUGGUGAGAUAACUGCCCACCAAGGCGACGAUCAGUAGCCGACCUGAGAGGGUGAUCGGCCACAUUGGAACUGAGACACGGUCCAAACUCCUACGGGAGGCAGCAGUGGGGAAUAUUGCACAAUGGGCGAAAGCCUGAUGCAGCAACGCCGCGUGAACGAUGAAGGUCUUCGGAUCGUAAAGUUCUGUUGCAGGGGAAGAUAAUGACGGUACCCUGUGAGGAAGCCCCGGCUAACUACGUGCCAGCAGCCGCGGUAAUACGUAGGGGGCUAGCGUUAUCCGGAUUUACUGGGCGUAAAGGGUGCGUAGGUGGUCCUUCAAGUCGGUGGUUAAAGGCUACGGCUCAACCGUAGUAAGCCGCCGAAACUGGAGGACUUGAGUGCAGGAGAGGAAAGUGGAAUUCCCAGUGUAGCGGUGAAAUGCGUAGAUAUUGGGAGGAACACCAGUAGCGAAGGCGGCUUUCUGGACUGCAACUGACACUGAGGCACGAAAGCGUGGGUAGCAAACAGGAUUAGAUACCCUGGUAGUCCACGCUGUAAACGAUGAAUACUAGGUGCUGGGAGGCAUAAGCCUUUCGGUGCCGUCGCAAACGCAUUAAGUAUUCCACCUGGGGAGUACGUUCGCAAGAAUGAAACUCAAAGGAAUUGACGGGGACCCGCACAAGCGGUGGAGCAUGUGGUUUAAUUCGA